UACGAAGGGUGCAAGCGUUACUCGGAAUUACUGGGCGUAAAGCGUGCGUAGGCGGUUCGUUAAGUCCGAUGUGAAAGCCCUGGGCUCAACCUGGGAACUGCAUUGGAAACUGGCGGGCUGGAGUGCGGUAGAGGGUGGCGGAAUUCCCGGUGUAGCAGUGAAAUGCGUAGAUAUCGGGAGGAACACCCGUGGCGAAGGCGGCCACCUGGACCAGCACUGACGCUGAGGCA
rnacentral:rRNA from 1 species